UUCCGGUUGAUCCUGCCGGACCCGACUGCUAUCAGAGUGGGACUAAGCCAUGCGAGUCAACGCAGCAAUGCGUGGCAUACGGCUCAGUAACACGUAGUCAACAUGCCCAGGGUGACGUGGAUAACCUCGGGAAACUGAGGAUAAACCGCGAUAGGCCAAGGUUUCUGGAAUGGACACCGGCUGAAACCUACAUGGCCCCUGGAUUGGACUGCGGCCGAUCAGGCUGUUGGUGAGGUAAUGGCCCACCAAACCUGUAACCGGUACGGGCUUUGAGAGAAGGAGCCCGGAGAUGGGCACUGAGACAAGGGCCCAGGCCCUAUGGGGCGCAGCAGGCGCGAAACCUCUGCAAUAGGCGAAAGCUUGACAGGGUUACUCUGAGUGAUGCCCGCUAAGGGCAUCUUUUGGCACCUCUAAAAAUGGUGCAGAAUAAGGGGUGGGCAAGUCUGGUGUACAGCCGCCGAGGUAAUACCAGCACCCGAGUGGUCGGGACGAUUAUUGGGCCUAAAGCAUCCGUAGCUUGUACUGGCAAGUCUCCGGUUAAAUCCCACCUUGCUCAACAGAAUGCGCUGCGGGAGGAUACUACAGGGACUAAGGAAGCAGGAGAGGCACACAGUACUCAAGUGAGUAGGGGUAAAAUCAUCUG
rnacentral:rRNA from 1 species